UACAGAGGGGGCAAGCGUUAUUCGGAAUUAUUGGGCGUAAAGGGCGCGUAGGCGGCCUGGCAAGUGGAAGGUGAAAUCCCUCGGCUUAACCGAGGAACUGCCCUCCAAACUGCUUGGCUUGAGUCCGGGAGAGGUGAGUGAAUUCCCAGUGUAGCGGUGAAAUGCGUAGAUAUUGGGAGGAACACCAGUGGCGAAGGCGGCUCACUGGACCGGAACUGACGCUGAGGCGCGAAAGCGUGGGGAGCAAACGGG
rnacentral:rRNA from 1 species